UUUUUCAUAAAGAUGAAACUUUGACACAUACUUUGUUGUUUUUCUUUAUUUAAUCUGUGAUUCUAUCGUGUUUUCUGCGAAAUACUUUGCAUGCAUAUGAUCAGCUUCUUCAAGGUAAACAUAUUUUUCUUUAUUUUUCGUUUAUAUUGAUUUAUAUAUUCUUGAAGAUGACUUUCAUGGUUGCAUGUUAAUGUUUUGUUUCGGAUCUGGAAUAAUUUGUCUC